rnacentral:tRNA from 1 species
AGCGGAAAAAGGGACC